rnacentral:rRNA from 1 species
CGUAGGGAGCAAGCGUUGUUCGGAUUUACUGGGCGUAAAGGGCGCGUAGGCGGCAAAUUAAGUCAGCUGUGAAAUCUCCGAGCUUAACUCGGAACGGUCAGCUGAUACUGAUCUGCUAGAGUGCGGAAGGGGCAAUCGGAAUUCUUGGUGUAGCGGUGAAAUGCGUAGAUAUCAAGAGGAACACCUGAGGUGAAGACGGGUUGCUGGGCCGACACCGACGCUGAGUGCGCGAAAGCCAGGGGAGCAAACGGGAUUAGAUACCCCGGUAGUCCUGGCCUUAAACGAUGAAUACUUGGUGUCUGGAGUCUCUAUAGCUCCGGGUGCCGUCGCUAACGUUUUUAGUAUUCCGCCUGGGGAGUACGCACGCAAGUGUG